rnacentral:rRNA from 1 species
CCUACGGGCGGCAGCAGUGAGGAAUAUUGGUCAAUGGACGGAAGUCUGAACCAGCCAUGCCGCGUGCAGGAAGACGGCUCUAUGAGUUGUAAACUGCUUUUGUACAAGGCUAAACCUGAAUACGGGUAUUCAGCUGAAAGUACUGUACGAAUAAGGAUCGGCUAACUCCGUGCAAGCAGCCGCGGUAAUAAGGCGGAUCCAAGCGGUAUACGGAUUUAGUGGGUUUAAAGGGUGCGUAUGCGGAUUUAUAAGUGAGAGGUGAAAUGUCCGAGCUUAACUCGGGAACUGCCUCUACUACUGUUGAUCUAGAGAGUAGAUGCGGUAGGCGGAAUGUAUGGUGUAGCGGUGAAAUGCUUAGAGAUCAUACAGAACACCGAUUGCGAAGGCAGCUUACCAAUCUAUAUCUGACGUUGAGGCACGAAAGCGUGGGGAGCAAACAGGAUUAGAUACCCUAGUAGUC